rnacentral:rRNA from 1 species
CCUGACGAAUUAUUCAAUUAAUUUAAAACUUUCAACAACGGAUCUCUUGGUUCUGGCAUCGAUGAAGAACGCAGCGAAAUGCGAUAAGUAAUGUGAAUUGCAGAUUUCAGUGAAUCAUCGAAUCUUUGAACGCACAUUGCGCCCUCUGGUAUU